GCCUCAGACUCUCUGGAAGCACAUGGGCGCAGGGGCAGGCCCUGGUGGUCACACGCCUCCUCUCUUGCAGCCUCCACCACCGCCCCGAAGGUCUUCGCGCUGGCCCCCGGCUGUGGGACCACAUCUGACUCCACGGUGGCCCUGGGCUGCCUGGUCUCCGGAUACUUCCCCGAGCCAGUGAAGGUGUCCUGGAACUCGGGCUCCCUGACCAGUGGCGUGCACACCUUCCCUUCCGUCCUGCAGUCCUCGGGGUUCUACUCCCUCAGCAGCAUGGUGACCGUGCCUGCCAGCACCUGGACCAGCGAGACCUACAUCUGCAACGUAGUCCACCCGGCCAGCAACUUCAAGGUGGACAAGACAAUCGAGCCCAUUCGCCGCAACGACCAAAAAGUGUGCGACAUGAGCCAGUGUCCCAAAUGCCCAGCUCCUGAGCUCCUGGGAGGGCCUUCGGUCUUCAUCUUCCCCCCGAAUCCCAAGGACACCCUCGUGAUCACCCGAACACCCGAGGUCACCUGCGUGGUGGUGGACGUGAGCCAGGAGAACCCUGAUGUCAAGUUCAACUGGUACAUGGACGGGGUGGAGGUGCACACAGUCACGACGAGGCAGAAGGAGGAGCAGUUCAACAGCACUUACCGCGUGGUCAGCGUCCUCCGCAUCCAGCACCAGGACUGGCUGUCAGGAAAGGAGUUCAAGUGUAAGGUCAACAACCAAGCCCUCCCACAACCCAUCGAGAGGACCAUCACCAAGACCAAAGGGCGGUCCCGGGAGCCGCAAGUGUACGUCCUGGCCCCACACCCAGACGAGCUGUCCAAGAGCAAGGUCAGCGUGACCUGCCUGGUCAAGGACUUCUACCCACCUGAAAUCAACGUCGAGUGGCAGAGUAAUGGGCAGCCAGAGCCGGAGACCAAGUACAGCACCACCCCAGCCCAGCUGGACGGCGACGAGUCCUACUUCCUGUACAGCAAGCUCACUGUGGACAGGAACAGGUGGCAGCAGGGAACAACAUUCACGUGUGGGGUGAUGCACGAGGCUCUCCACAAUCACUACACACAGAAGAACGUCUCCAAGAACCCUGGUAAAUGAGCCAUGGGCCCGGCACCCAGCAAGCCAUCCCUCCUUCCCCGUGGGCUCUCAGAGUCCAGCGAGGACACCUGAGCCCCCACCCCUGUGUACAUACCUUCCCGGGCACCCAGCAUGAAAUAAAGCACCCAGCAUGGCCCUGGGACCCUGCGA